rnacentral:ncRNA from 1 species
CAAAAACUUGGUCCUGAUUUUACUAUCAGUUUUAACCCGAUUUAUACAUGCAAGUAUCCGCACCCCCGUGAAGACGCCCUCAAUCCUCUCCAAGAGAACGAGGAGCGGGCAUCAGGCACGCCCCGCAGCCCAAGACGCCUUGCCUUGCCACGCCCCCAAGGGAAUUCAGCAGUAAUAAACAUUAAGCCAUAAGUGAAAGCUUGACUUAGUUAGGGUAAAGAGGGUCGGUUAAACUCGUGCCAGCUACCGCGGUUAUACGAGAGACCCUAAUUGAUAGCUACGGCGUAAAGGGUGGUUCGAGAUAAAUUAUAAAUAAAGCUAAAGACCUUCUAAGCUGUUACAAGCACUACGAAGGCACGAAACCCUAACACGAAAGUAGCUUUACUACACUUGACGCCACGAAAGCUAAGAAACAAACUGGGAUUAGAUACCCCACUAUGCUUAGCCUUAAACCCAGAUGCUAACUUUACAAACACAUCCGCCAGGGGACUACGAGCGCCAGCUUAAAACCCAAAGGACUUGACGGUGUCUCAGACCCACCUAGAGGAGCCUGUUCUAGAACCGAUAACCCCCGUUAAACCUCACCACCCCUUGCUUUUCCAGCCUAUAUACCGCCGUCGCAAGCUUACCCUGUGAAGGUUCUACAGUAAGCAAAAUGGGUAAAACCCAAAACGUCAGGUCGAGGUGUAGCUUACGAGGUGGAAAGAAAUGGGCUACAUUUUCUUUAACAGAAUAAUACGAAUAACACCAUGAAACUGGUGUUUGAAGGUGGAUUUAGUAGUAAAUAAUAAAUAGAGCGUAUUUUUGAACCAGGCUCUGAGACGCGCACACACCGCCCGUCACUCUCCCCACAAUCUAUAUUUUCAAGUAAUUAACCAAACACUUUUCACAACUAGGGGAGGCAAGUCGUAACAUGGUAAGUGUACCGGAAGGUGCACUUGGAAUUU